UCUUCUAAUUACCUACUUCAGGCCUCAAG
rnacentral:piRNA from 1 species